rnacentral:rRNA from 1 species
AUUGAACGCUGGCGGCAUGCUUUACACAUGCAAGUCGAACGGCAGCACGGGCUUCGGCCUGGUGGCGAGUGGCGAACGGGUGAGUAAUGCAUCGGAACGUACCGUGUAAUGGGGGGAUAACGUAGCGAAAGUUACGCUAAUACCGCAUACGCCCUGAGGGGGAAAGCGGGGGAUCGUAAGACCUCGCGUUAUACGAGCGGCCGAUGUCGGAUUAGCUAGUUGGUGGGUAAAGCCUACCAAGGCGACGAUCCGUAGCGGGUCUGAGAGGAUGAUCCGCCACACUGGGACUGAGACACGGCCCAGACUCCUACGGGAGGCAGCAGUGGGGAAUUUUGGACAAUGGGCGCAAGCCUGAUCCAGCCAUGCCGCGUGAGUGAAGAGGCC